rnacentral:lncRNA from 1 species
AUUUAUUAUGUGAAUCAUAUUCUUGGUAGAUGGAAAUGUAGUGCCUUGCCUCCACCCUUAUUAAGCUCUUGCGAAUCGGCCGCUCUAGAGCGUGAAUCACUUGUUUUUUGAGAGGAUUAUCUGAAUCAGGUGCCAUGGACUGAAGGUGGGCAGUGGUGAAAGCCUGGGCUUCAUCCAGUAUGUCUUCUCCAUGCACCAUUAAAUGUGUAGCUUCAUAUAGAGCUAGCAUGCCUGGUAAGUCACCCACCAAUGAUUCCUUGAAGUUGCCUUCCUCGUCCUUGAACUUCUUAAAUACAUCUAUUUCAUCAUCAAGGUUUAAUAUAUAACCAUUAAAUCAAAGAUAAUUUAUUCAAGACGACAUAUAUAUAUAUAUAUAUGUUUAUUUAUUUAUUUAUUUAUGAACUUCUUUUGAUCAUGUAGUAUUGUUUUAAAAUCGUGAGAACUUCUUGGAUCAAAUCAGUUAUUCAAGAUGACAUAUACAUAUUUAUGAACUCUUUUUAAUCAUGUAGAUGUGUUUUAAAGUAAAGAGGGUUUCUUGGACCAAAGCGGAUAAUAUCUACAAGAAAAACCAUUGAAAGUUCAAUAGGGAACACCUAAAAGGAUGAUGAUCUCCAACCCAAGAUUCAAAGAUCUAAUCCUUAAAUGAGAUAUUAGGAAUGGUGUGACACUUUAGGCCUUCUCUCUAAGAUCCUUUCCAAGGAAUGAAAGGUCCCUCAAUAAUCUCUUUCCAAUAUCUUGAAAUUCAGAUCUCUUUUACAAAAGAGUUAUAAGGAGGUAUUUAUGGGUGAAUACCACAAAAAUUUUCGGUGUCUUUAGUUUCCAAAAUAGAUCACUUUGAUUGAAAUUCAUCCAAAAUUCGUUUCUAAUUUUGGUAGGACUAUCAUGAUCUCUUAAGCGGAUUUAUGCCACUUGAGUGGGAUUAGUUAUUUGAGUAGCCCCUGCUUCUUUUGAAAAAUCAUUUUAUAACAUUUUAAGUCUAAAAAUGAUAUUGAACAUUUUUAUACUUCAAAGGAGCCUAAUAUGUCAUAUGUCAAACCUCUUUAGACGUACCCAUGACAUCCCAGUUGGACGAAAAACAACUCUUGAUCUUCAGUGAAGAGUAAGUCACUAUAAAAAAAGACUUCUAUAAUCAAAUAUUAAAAGGAAUAAAUCUACCAACAUAUAAAUAAGACUUAAUGUCCCAACAUACAUGUUUGUAAGGUGGUUAUAAUUAGUAUCAAAGCCCAUCCAAACUCUGGUGUGAAAGUUCAUUUAGUCUCGCAAUCCCAUAAAACAUAACGAGAAUGAUUGUGAUAUCCUAUGUCGAAUAGGAGAAAAACUUUUUGAUACCAUAUAUAUAGACCCUUCUUAAUCAUGUAGACUUGUUUUAAAACUGUGAGAGCCCUUUGAACUAGAAUCAAUAGUAUUUACAUGGUUAAUAGUAGAUCAUUACACAUACUCGCAGCAAAUAUGGGACAAAAGCUUUUACCGGAUGGAAUGUGGUAGCCUUCUUGUCUUAGUAACCGGAAUCGAAGAGCAGCACUCGCAAGGUCAUCGUUAUCAUCAUCAACCAAAUUAUAUGUUUCAUACAUAACUUUUAAUGCGUCUUCUAUCUCCCUUUCAAAGUGGUAAGCCAAGCCCAAGCGUUGGAUUGAAUCUAUGAAGUUCAGCAGUUGUGAAGACUUCCCAGCAGUAGCUUUUAGCUCGUUUCUCACUUCUUCUUUCAGUCCUUCAAGUUCUUUUUCUUUGCAGGCAUGUGUUACCUGGACCAAAAAUUAUAUAAACAACAUAAACAUCUAAUACUACAAAAAAUAAUUUUUUUUAGAACUCCCAAGUAUUUACCGUAUCAUCAGGAAUGUAGGUGAGGAAACAGUCACCCCAGAAGUUGGGAACAAAGUUUGCAGUGUUGCGAGCCAGCUUAGGAUCAGCCUUCUGGGUGAUUGAUAGUGGGAAAGAAGACAUACUUUGGCCAGAGAAGAAACCUAUGAAAGUGUCGUUGCUUCUUAUGCCCUUCUCGGUGGUAUGUGGAAGUGGAACUCAUGCAUUUAUAGGCCGGGCAGCUAGGCUUCUUAGUUUUGAGAAAAUCAUUUCCGUUCCGUUUUCUUUUUUCUUUUCUUAAUAUUUUCUGAACCAAAUAUAACCAAAACAAUUAUCUGAAGUGAUUUUUGAAAAAGUUAAAAUAAAAUGCUUUUAGUCUUUUAAUUAAAGUGUUUUUCAACAUUUUUAAAAAUGAUAUUAAUUUUUUUUUGUUAAACAUUGUAUUUGUAAAAGAAGAGAACUUUCAAUAAAACGAUUUUAAUCACUCUCUCAAACAUGCAUAAACAAAAAAAUUGGAGAUGGGUAUUUUUAAUCUAAUUGAAAAAAAAUGUUAAAAAUAUUUAUAUGUGAUUUCAAAUGAUAUUUGAACCAAAACUCUAUAAUGCCCUCAUGGACAUAGAGGUUCACGACUUAUUAUUAUUUGUCGGUAACAUGUCACAUGUUUUAUAUGCAAAGAUUUAACAAUAUUGUAGGGACGAAAUGAAUGAUGUUCAUACAUUUGAAUUGAAGAUAAGAUAAGAUAAACAUUGAUGUCUCAUCCUAUUGAAGUAAAGGAGAUUUUAGUAUAAUAAUUUUGUGAUUAUUAAUUUAGGAUAAUCUAUUUUUAUCACCUUUUGUGGACAUUGGCUUACCAAGGAUUUAUUCUUUUAUUCUAAAUCCAAUAAUUAUAAAUUUGUCAAAAUUGUGAAAAUAUUGUGGAUUGAAGUCGAGCAUGUUAACAAGGUAAACUUAUACUCUACAUUUGCUGAAAACCACCAAAAUUGUGAUUCAGAAUUUUUGUAGGAUGAGAUUUGGCAGUAAAAAGCUAGUGAGAAGUUAUGAGUUUGUUUGGGAACGACCUUUUAGAACAAUUUUUUGUUCUUCAUAACAAAAAAAGAUACAAAAUACAAGUUGGACAAUUAAAAAUAUAUAUAGAAAUAGCUAGAUUAAAGAUGGACAAGGUGGAAGCUCAUGCUACACGUGUUAUGAUAUCAAAAAAUAAUUGUAUAAAAGAUCACAAAUGAGAUUAAUCCUUUAAAAAAAAAAAAGAAUAUUGAAGUAUAGAAAUUUCAAGAUAAUAAUAUUUUUUUUUUGUUAAAUAUAUAUCACCUGUUAUUUGGGUGGAGCAAAAAGCAGCAAAUUCGAGGGUUCCAAAAAAAAUCAAACACAGUCACACCCAAUUAAUUUAUUUGUUUAUUUUCUUUUACUUUAAAUUUUUUGGGGUUAAGAUGAGGCUAAAUAAAAUAUUUGGACCCAAUUAAUGGAUUAUCGAUAUUUUAAAUUAAUAAAAAUGGAACUAGAAUAUACAUUUUUAGAACUGAUUUUUGUUGGAGGGUGGAGUGUGAUGAUUGAUGUUGAUCUUUUGAGUUUUGUAACAAUGAAAUGUAAAGAGAAAACACGCAAAUUAUACUAUCAAAUUUAUAUUAAGAGUUCCUAAUAUUUUAUUUGAUAGUGAUUUUAAAAUGUAUUUUUGAUAUAAAAAGUGUUUUUGAAAAAAAAUUAUAUAUUUGGUAAAAUUUUAAAAAUAACUUUUAGAGUUGAAGAAAGUAGGCUUUGUUAGAAAAUAUUUUUAGGAGAAUCGCUUAAAGUGUUUUUUAAAAAAAAUCUUUAUAAGUGAUUUUUUUUUUUAUGUUAAAAACAUUUUUUUAAAAAUAUUUAAUUUAUCAAAUACUUAAUUUUUUUUAAAAAUAUUUUUUAAAUUAAAAAUACCUUUUAAAAUCAUUAUCAAAUCGAUUCUUUAAUUUAGUUUGUGGUACAAAAAUAAUUAGGAUCAACAUUUUAAAAGUUGUAUUUCAGAACAUUUUGAAAAAAGUUAUUAGUUCCGAAUUAUUUUUAACUUAUUUUUCAUAAAAAUAUUAAUUAGUUUACAAUAGUCUAUAAAAUACAAUUGAAAACAUAAAGUUUCUUUUAAAAAACAAACCGUAUUCAAAACAAAUAAAACCCAAAUUUAUGUUAAUUCUUAAGCAUUUAAUAUUUGUUGUAUUGCGCUCAAAUAUAGUUAAUAUAUUAUUUUUUGAAAAAAAAAAUAUUUUCACAUACUCAUAUAAAAAUAAUUAUAAAACAAUAAAUUUUUAAAAAUAAUUCAAAUUUUAUGUAAUUUAUGGUACGGAGUAUAAUACAUAAAAAUUUAUAUAAAAUAUUAAUUAUUUUUGGCUGCUUUCUUAUAUUUUAUAAAUUUUUUCGGAGAUAACAACCUUAAUAAUUAGAGUUUAAGUCCAAAAUAAUCAAUUUGUAGAAAAAAAAAAUAGUAAAAAUAGUACUAAUUUCAAAAUAUUUAUCAAAGUAAUAUUUUGUAUCCAUGUAAUCAUCCACAUGAAAUUUUUUUUUAAGUGUAAAAAACCAUAGUUGGUAACUGUGGUUUUAAAAGUGUGAUUUUACAAUUUUCCUUGAAAUCACAGUUAGUAAACUGUGAUUUCAAAAUUAUUUUUAAUUCACCCCAAUUUUAAUGGUAAAAUAUUCUUUAUCAUAAUAACCAUAAAACCAUAAUUAGUAAGGAAUAAUUUAAAAUCACAAUCAUUGACAUUAUUUUUUAUAUGAAAAUAUAAAAUUUUAAAUAAUAUAAAUAAUUUGUUUCAUUAUUUUAAAUUUUAAAAAUAACAUGAAAAAAUAAUUUUCUUUAAUUCAUAUGUGAUAAAAUUUAUAAAACAAAUAAAUAUUUUAUUUACCAUAAAUAUAUAAAUUUUGAUGGGAAUGCAUGUAGGUGAAAUUAUUUUCUCAAAAUUUUAAGGAAAACAUGAAAAAAAUAAAGAUAAUAUAUAUAUAUAUAUAUAAUUUUAAAACAGUAGUAGUAAAGAAAAAAUUUAUUAAGGAUGAUUUGUAAAAAAAAUAGUUUUAAACUGCCAAUGGAAAAUAGUAAGAAAUUUUCCACUUUAAGGAAUUUUGGUACAUUCAUAAUUUACUCUAAAAUUGAAAAUAAAAAAAUAAAAUUCUAAAAUUCAUAUUUUUUUUAGUUGAUGUGAAACCAUAAUCUGUAACCAUAGUUUUUAGAAUAUUUUUAAAAUCAUAGUUAAUAACUAUGGUUUUAUGGUUAUUAUGAUAAAAAAUAUUUUAAAAAUAAUAUUAAAAUCACAAUACUAUUAAAACGAGGGUGUAUUAAAAAUAAUUUUGAAACUACAGUUACUAACUAUGAUUCUAAGAAAAAUUGUAAAAUCACAGUCACAUGUUAUGGUUUUAAAGAUAUUUAUGAAACUUUUAAAAUUUUUUUAUACUAAAUUUUUUUUUUUAAGUGGAUACUUAUUAUUACAAUUUUUUUUUUUCUAAAAAUGGAUUAUUUUGUACUUAAACUCUAAUAAUUAUGUCCAUUCAUGUCAGCUUUUCAGCGUUGUCUUCGAUCUCUGUUUGCCUAUGUAUCGAGCUGUUUCUUUAUCAUCCUCAUCAGACCUCAUGUCAGAUGUCGUAUGAUAUAUCUUCAUUUUCAUUGUGUGGUUUGCAGUAGUACUAUUCUUCUAUUUUUUUUCUUUCAAUUUUUGCGGCAGACAUAGGAAUAUCGUUCCGAGGGAAUAAAAUCUUAUAUAAAUUGGAUUGUUCUGAGGGAAGAAAUCUUAUGCAGAUUGCUUAGCAUGAUUGGUGCCACAUCCUAAUUUCCAUACCAUGGCCUACUAUUUUAGAUUUUAGUUGGCUUGUGGGCUCUCUCCCUAAUUAGUUGGCAAAAGUUUCCCUUUCCAAAGAAGUAUUUGUCAGAUUUUUCAUCUUGGUUGUCGAAAAUAUAUAUAAUAAAAUUUACAUCAGUGUAUGCUAAUAUAAAUAAUAAAGAUGUAAAAGAAUGAUAUCAAAAACAGAUGAUGGGACCAAGAUAUAAAGUAGUAGGACCGAAUUUUAUACAAAAUAAUAAUGAGACUUGAACGUGAUUGAUCAAGUUUUUAUAUAUCAACCAAAUCCUAUUAAGAUUUAGCUUGGUUUCUUUUGUGGUUUGAUGUUUCUAAGAUGGGGAGAAGAUGAAUUUUUUUGUUUUUUGUUUUUUUAUUUUUUUGAACAUUUGGUAUAUAAUCCAACCAAAAAAAAGGAAGCUAUUAUUAUUUCAAAACAAUAUGGUAAUAGUGCAUUGCAUUCUUACCGUGCUAGUCCAAUUAAAUCUCAAAUGAAAUAGGAAACAUCAUAAAGCCAAAGCCACAAUUAUAUGGGCACAGGGUCUAUGAGUAUGGAUGCAAUGAGAUCUUUCGUAAUGUUUUCAACAUGUGUGUUCAUGGUUGCUGAAUAUCCAUUCAAAAGCUUCCUUUGUUGCUAUAUCUCCCGUGCCAACGAAGGAUGUGGCUAGCAUAGAGUACCCACAACUUACUAACGCGUUACUCAUAUACUCAUCCAUGCUCGGUAUGUAUUCUUGGUGGAACCAUUUUGCUUCAGCAAAGUAGGAUUGGAUUAGUUUUUCAUCUGGGUUAUAACAUUAUGUUCCUAGCUUGUACAAUAUAAAUCACGUCAUUGAAAGGUAAAAAAAAAAUAUAUGAAGAGGAAGGACAAACCGCUGCUUUUGCAUAUGGAACACUACAUAGUUUACCUUCCUUGGCCAGCUCUUCCUCAAUUUCUUCAUAAACAUCUAAGACAGCUUGAUAGCACAGUUUCCUAUAGUCUUGGAGUUGGUCCAUGUUGCUGAUGUUCCAUAUCUGAAAGUGAAGGAACAGAUGAAGAUGCACUUAGAUAACUUUGAAUCCGAAAUCUCCAAAAAAAAAUGUAGAAAUUAAAUUGAAGAUAACAAUAUGCAUCUGUCAACCUCUCAAUUGCUUCUGUAAAGAGUUCGAGCUCGUCAAAUGUGCCAUACACAUUUUAUACAUCAUCCACAAUGGAUGUCGUGGCCAUUACUUUGGUUAGGACCCUUCUAGCAAGUAAGUACUGGGGCUCAAACCAUACCCCCAAUACCCAAAAGUAGCACUCCACCAGUCUGUCCCGAGCAAAAGGUAGUUUUGUUGCAAAGUCUAAAUCUUUCCACCACCUGAAAUGGGUAAACUCCGGCAGAUUAUUAGUAUAUUCUAUCUACCUUGUGAGCUUGACACAUGUAAUGUUGGAUUGUGAAGCCCGAAUCAGUAUUAUUCCACUACUCAAAAGGACAUGGAGGAUUAACUUCCUCCUGAGCUCGUGGGGUUUAAGAGGGUAUAGUGCUCCUAGAGCUUUUUUAAUAUUAUUUGUUGAAUGACAAGUUUACUCCUAUUGUGUUUAACCCCUUAUGUGUAACUGCAAUUGAGAGGAGAAAGAGGUCAGUCCUAUCAUGUCUUUCUAAGGAGGAAAGAGGGAAACAAAGUAAAAAAAAUCAUGUGAUACUGAAUGUAUCCAUAAGACAGCCCUAGAUGAUUGUGUGGUGGGGUGUGGAAUAUCAAAGAUAUUCGCUUCAAUUAUGUGAAUGAAAAUUAUGGCUUGUGUUACUCAUGUGCCUAUUAUAGUACAUGUGGGUCACAUCCCUUUCUGGAUUGUUUGAGGAAAACGGAUAUCUUGUUCUGGAAAUGUACCUGAGCUUGUUUCUCAUCCAUCCAGUGGUCAUUUUGGACUGCAAAUGAAAGCUUUGGCUGUUAAUCUUGUAGUACUCCAUAUACCCUCCUUGCUUUUUACUUUUAAUUUGGGUGUGUUAUUUGAAUCAAAAUCUUGUGUUACCCGCGCAUUUUCAGGAUAGCUCUGGAUCUUUUUGGACGUUGCUUAUUGGCUGGAUAUGACCAAUGUUUUCAAAACCGGACCGGUAAUCAAACCGGAAAAGUUACCGGUUCACGGUUCACCGGUCGGACCGGCGGUCGAACUGGUGACGUCAUAAAUAUAUAAUUUAUAUAUUAUUAAAAUUAAAAAUAAUUAUAAAAAUUUUAAAAUAUAUAUGAAUAAAUUAAACAUCAAUAAUAUUAUUUUAUAUCUUUGAUAUUAUCAAAUUAAAUCAUAUUAAUAUUUUAAAUUUUAUUAAAUGAAAUAUGUAUAAUAUUUAAAUGUGAAUAUAUAAAAAAAUGAAAAUUUAAACUAAUUUCAUAAUUUUUAAAAAUAUUAUAUUAUUUUUAUUUAAUAUUAUAAAAAAAUUUAAAAUCUAAUAUAUAUUGUUUUGUUUGGCAUAUGAGAUAAUAAAACACAUGUAGCCGAGUGGUGUCUUAGGUGGACUAUAGUUAAGGAUUGGUCCAAGGUUCAAAUCCUCUUGUGGAGUUUUGUUAUGUUUUUUUUCAUUGAUAUUUAGCAAUCCUACAUCGGAAAAUGAGAGAAAUAAGGGGUCAAAUGACUCCUAUAAAAGCCAUCCUCAGCAAAGGCUUGGCAUGGUCUUGUGGGCUCAAAAAAAAACCCACAAUAAUUGGAGUGGGCAUGUGGGCUGUGUCAUAAGACAGGCCCAACAUGGAAUCUUUCCUUUCAUGCAAUGAGAGGGUAAUAGUUUUAUUUUGUAAUUUUUUUUUCAAAAAAUUAAAAUUAUUUGAAUCAGCCGGUUCCCUUGGAACCGGCCGGUUCACCAAUUGAACCGCCGGUUUGAGCGAUUCAACCCCGGUUCGAUCUCAAUCCGGUCCAAAUGACCGAAUCGAACCGGAAUGAUGACUGGUCGAUGGUUGGACCGGCCGGUCCGGUUUUUAAAACAUUGGAUAUGACAAUAGCUCAGAACCACAAAAAAAAGUAAAUUUUUUUUUUCUUCCUGUUGUCAUCGAUGAUAAACCACGAUUAUUGAUCCAUUGUCGGUCUUUGGCUUCAACAAAGUAGGCUUCGUCUCCCUUUUCCUCCAUUUCUGCAGAACACCAUUUCAUAUAAUGGUCUAGGAGUUGAUCUUAAUUAGCACCGAUAGUGGAUGUCAUGACAAGUCAUUAUUAUUAUUAUUAUUAUUAUUAAUCUUGGAUUCAAUAAGGUCAAAAUAAAAGAAUUGGGAUUAAGGAAUUUUGAUUAAUGGAAAUUAAAAAAUAAUAGCCAGAUAAUACUAUUUCACAUUGAAGCUUGGGAAGCAAUAAAAAUGGAAAAUUGGUAAUCGACUCUCUCAUAUAAGUUGAUAUAAUUAACAAAGUAUAUAUGUGAAAGGGUUUGCAUAUGUAUGAUAUAUCCAAAAUUGAUCCAAUUAAUAGUAAAUUAAGUCCAAGCAUUCCAAAAUACUCUAUCAGUAAUUAAAUGUGUUUAUGUAAUGAAGAUUUUGACUCAUUUACAUGUUAAAAAACAGUUAAACUUUAUUUAUUUUUAAAUCCAUUUUAAAUCAAAUAUAUUAACAAUUAUUAUAUUCACUUUUAACCAAAACAAAUUAUACCUUUUCAUGUUAAUAUCCAUAUUUUUAUAACAUAUACUAAAAUAAUAUAUUUUUAUAAAAAGAAAUAUAAUUUAUGAUUUUAUUAUAAUAUUACUAUUCAAAUUUUUAUUAAAAACCAUUUAUUUACAAUUACAAAACCAUUUUCAUUUUUAAUAAGAUUGAAAUUAAAUUUAAUUAACAUUAUAUAAAUUAAUUUACAAUAUUUUUUCAAAAUCAAAAUAAAAAAUUAUUUUUAAAAAAAUUUAUUAAAACAUGUUUUUUUUAAAAAAAUAUAUAUUUUAAAACAACUUAUCAAAUAUCUUUAUUUUUAUAAAAUACUAAAACAUUGGUUUUCCUUUUUAACUUAAACUUAAUUUCUGAAAACUAGAAAAUAUGGUCAAAUGGGAUCUUUUUUUUUUUUUAUUUAUUUAAAGUGAUUUUUAAAGAUUUUAAAACUUUGUUAAACAUUUCAUUUAUACAAGAAAAGCACUUUCAAUCGUUUAAAAAACGCUUUUAAUCACUCUUGCAAAUAUGCUAGAAACCAAAAAUUAGAGAUUGAUACAAUUAAUCUCGUUGAAAAAUAAUAUUAACGUAAAGAUAUUUUGUAAUGAUAAUUUUUAUUUAAUUUAAAAUUUUAGACUUUUCAUCAAUUUGCAAUCACAUAGGCCUACCAAGGAUUUGAUUUUAUCUUCUAAAUUCAAUGAUUAUAGUAAUAAAACAUUCAAAAAUUGUCACACAUUAUAAGUCAAAUUAAUUUAUGCACAUUAAAUAUUAAUAUACAGAAUGUCUCAUCUUUUCUAUCAAAUUAUGUCUUUGACUAACAACUUUUUGUAAUUUUUGUUUAAUUAGUUUGAAAUCAUAUUUUGAAAAUACAUAUCUCAAAAUGUGGUUUCUAAAUUUGUACUGAAUGCUAGGUUUUGAAAUACAAAAGAUCCAACAGCAAACAUGUGGGACAAACUGAACGACUUUCAUACGAAUCGGGCUUCUAAUGUCCUGUUGAUAUCAUCCCAUUCAAAAAUAAUUUCAACUUGGAAACAUAAAAAAUGUUACAAGUGAGUAGACAUUUGCCCCACAUCAUAAAUAAUUGAAUCAAAGAUAAGAUUUUCAUUGCCUUUUAUGGACCAACCAAAGAUUUCGAGUCAAAGCAAGUAUUUAUAAUAAUUAAAGGUUCUAUCUCUAUGAUUAAAGGAUAGUACUUAUGCGAUCACACCUUCAAUUGAUCAUAAAUUUGAAUUAUUUUUAAAUAAUUAAAAUUGAGUUUUUAUUUUGGGUUUUUUCAAUUAUGCUAAUAAAAACACAUUUUUCCCAUUUUACUUUUUAUCAUAAAUCCUAUGAUUAUAAAACCAUCAAAAUUGUGAAAAUAUCAUAGAUUAAAGUCAAGCAUGUGAACAAAGGUAAAAUGAUACUCUACGAUGUUCAUAAAACUACCAAAAUUAUGGUUCCAAAUUUUUGUUGGAUGGAGUAUAAUAGUUGAAAAUUUUCUUAUGCAUGAUCAAUUAUGGCUUAGUUUGAGAACAAUUCUAAAUAAUAAAAUUUUAAAUUAUUAUAUGAUAUUUUAUACAAUAAAAAUCUAUUUGAGAAUAUGAAAUGUUCUUAACAUAUUUUUUAUUUUUUAAAUAUAUUUUAAAAAUAAAUUUUAUCUUCAAAACUUUAUUUUUAAUUAUUUUUUAUAUUUAUAUAAUUAUUAUAUAUAAUAAUUAGAAAAAAACAAAAGUAAAAACAACCUAAAAGAUUUUUUUUUUAAAUAUCCUAUUUUCUAUUUUUUGUUUUUUAUUUUUAAUAACAUAUAACUAUUUUUAAAAAUAGUUGUCAAGUGACUUGACAACCCGUCCUUAUCCAAAUCGGAGACAAAUUGACGUGGGAUCCACACAACUCCAUAAUUUAGAAAGAUUUCAUUUCUCAUGUGCUCUUGCGAAUCUCGGGAAUUAUUGCAAUUAUGACACAUUCUCCGCAGUGGGGUCUCCAUGAAUGACUCAUGUCCCCAUACCAAAAAGGGGAAAAAAACUUUUAGAAAGAUUCCAUUUAUAGAUGUUACUAAAAAUUACUUUGCUACCAUAAUUUUAGACAUAUAUGUAUAUAUCCAAAAUACCAUGCCUCGAUGCUAGAUUACAUUUAACAUUUGACAACACUAGAGAUUAUGAUGACUAACUGUGGUGGAAGGUGAUAUAUCAUACAUGUUAUACAAACAUUAUUAAUCCUUUUCACAUGGUACAUACAUAUAUAUAGAACCAUCUCCUGGCCAUUUACAUUGGCACAGGAUCUAUGAGCAUCCCUGCAACCAGAUCUUUCAUCAAUGGUCCAACCAGCGUGUACUCAUCUUCGUCCUUGUACAAGACGUCCAUCAUCCGGCUAAAAUUCAGAACACGGGUGAGGAGUGGAACUGGCACUGCUGUAGGUUGCAGGAACUCCUCAUUAUUAUCCUUCCAUGCACUCUCUACUUGCUUCUUGAACUCAUCAUAAGCUUCUUCCUUUGAAACCCCAUAUUGCUUCAUGUAGCAUUCUACGGCUGANGCUACAUGCCCUCUUUUUUGCUNNNNNNNNNNNNNNNNNNNNNNNNNNNNNNNNNNNNNNNNNNNNNNNNNNNNNNNNNNNNNNNNNNNNNAGCAGCAUCCAUUAUGCAAUAUGGAUAUGUACCUCAUGGGAAACUAUGUCAUCCAUAAGCCUGCAAAUGACGUUUGAAGCUCUAAUCAUCUUAGGGUCACUGAAAACCCAAUCGAAGGCCUCCUUGGUUACUAUAUCUCCCAUACCGACGAAAGAUGUGGUUGUAAGCAUAGAGCAGGCAGAGCUUACCAGCGCGUUGCUCAUGUACUCCUCCAUUCUUGGUAUAUAUUCUUGCUUCAACCAUUUGGCUUCAAGAAGGUAGGCUUGGACUUGCCUUUUUAACUGAGUUACAUUGUUGAGAUAUUAUGAUAUAUUCUAGGAAAGUAGUUGUUAUUGUUUAGGAUUGUUUCCUAAACUCACGACAUUGUUUAGGAUUGUUUCCUAAACUCACGGUUUUCCCUUAAUUAGGUUUGCUUGAUGUACUAUAUAUUUACGUGGAUGAAUAUCAAUAAGGGUUAAGCUUUGACCCUUUAAUCACACUUUACAUGGUAUCAGAGCACUGACAUGCACACACAAUAAAACAAUGGCCGGCGACGAUGAACAACCACCAUUGCCGCCACCUAAAAGGGAGAUGAAUUCACCUUUUUUUCUCGGCACAGGAGACCGACCAGGCGACUUCAUCACUCCCACUCGCUUACGCGGCGACAAUUACGAUGAUUGGGCUUCUAAUAAUGAAGAUCACAAUAGUUGUUAUGGACCACCAAAAGAAUUCUAAAAAGAAAAAACCCAUGUAAAUAGGGGAAAAUCCUAAAAUAUCGGUAAAAAAUAAAGGAAAAAUUCACAAAAAUGGGGAAAAUCGUAAUUUUGGACAUGUGAGUUUGGAAUUUUGUACUUGGGCUUUUUGACAAACUACCACUUUUUCCUUAUUUAUUUAUUUUGUUAUACAAUACAUUACAAAAAAAAUACUAUCAAAAUUAAGAUAGGCCUUUUUUUUUGCUUUUAAAAAUUAGAAAAUAAUUGUAAAUUUUACAAAAGGUACAAAGAUUUGAAACUUAGGAAGUUCAGUCUUAUUACAAUUCAUAGUAACACAACCCUUUUCAGAAAAACUGAGCCACCAAAAUUCAAGUGGGGCUAUGCAAUAUUUUUUCCUUUGUAAAGAACAGUUCUAUAAAUAACAAAACACAAACGGUCAUUGAUCACACAAUUAACAGAUAGAAAUUUAUUGUAUCUUAAAAAAUAAUGAAUUAUCAAGCAAUAACGCCUGUUUGGAAAUGUUUUCACAAAAAAAAAAAAAUAGAAUAGUUUUAUCUAUAAAAUCAUAGUCAUUAACUCGAGUUUAAACUUAAAUUUAAAAUCAUAAUUGGUAACUGCACUUUUAAUUAUUUUUAGAAAAAAAAAACAUUAAAAUUAUAGUCAUCGACAAUUUUGUAACUUGGAUUGCAUGAGCACUGGUUUGAGAAUUAUGAGGAGUUAAUUUAUGGAAUUUUUUUAAAAUAAAUUAUUUUUAUUAAAAACUCAAUUAAUUUGGGGUAUUAAGACUAACAGAGGGUGCAGUCUACCACAAGCAGACUGGAUAUGAAAAAGAGGUUAAGACUCAUGAAAAAUAAUAUCUCUCAUCUAUUAUCACACAAUUUUUGUCAUUAAUUAUCUUUCUUCUUUUUACCGUUCAUUAACUAAUUUCUAACCAUCAAUUCAUUUCUUAUGAUGUUCAUCAUGUUUGAAUGACAUGUAACUAUUUAUGAUAUAGUAAACUUUCACUCAUAUUAAAAUUAAAGUUAAAAGUAAUUAAAAAAUCAAUUGAUAUAAUAAAUAAUAAAUUAAAAUUAAAAGUAAAUAAUUGAAAUAUUGGAGGAAAUUAAAAAUAAAAAUUUUAAAAAUUUUGAAUUUUAAAUUUAUCCAUAUGGAAAUUGAGGGAGAAAGAUAAUUUGUAUAAUAUAAUUUUUAUUAGCAAACUCAUUUUAAAAUUUUGUGUUUGAUAAGAAUGUAAUAAAAAUAUAUUUAUUCUAAUAAUGAAGAUCACAAUAGUCCAAGUUGUUAUGCACCACCAAAAGAAUUCUAAAAAGGAAAAAUUCACCAACGGGAAAAUCGUAAUUUUGGAAUUUGGAUAGGUGUAUACUAGUCUCUUUCUUUCCUUUCCCUGGUAUGGAAGGUAUAGGUCUAUAUAUACUUGGAAGAACCAGUCAAAUUCGGCAAAAUCCAUAUUAUAAUUUUCUUUGAUUUCUUAGAGAAACUGAGUUCCCCCAAUGCCCGGCAUACAGAGGAAGAUGAAGAGGGCAAGACGAAGACGUACAGGAGACGAGGUAAAGGGAUUUAAUUUCAAUUAUUAGAGUGUAAUGUAGAUGAUUAACUCUUUUCUGACGUCCAUUCUCAAUUCUGGCUACGUAGUACAUAUCCGAUGACGGUGAUUUUGGGGAGGACCUGCUUAGCGAGUUGCCGGAUGAAAUUCUUAUUUCAAUACUAUCUCGCCUAACCCUAAGGGAAGCUGCGGCUACCAGUGUUCUCUCACAGCGNNNNNNNNNNNNNNNNNNNNNNNNNNNNNNNNNNNNNNNNNNNNNNNNNNNNNNNNNNNNNNNNNNNNNNNNNNNNNNNNNNNNNNNNNNNNNNNNNNNNAAAAUGUAUAUUCUUAGCUAUAGUCCUUGCUUGUGUAAAUGAUUUUGACUCCCUGGCAUUUUAUUUUACAGUUAAAAUGGCGAACUCAAAUCAUACCAGUCGCAAAAAGAUAUGCCAAGGCAUUGAUCCAAUAUUCCCAUCAAUACCUGAAACUGGUGAAAAUUGUUGGUUUUAAUGAUUGUAGCAGUGCUUGUGAGCUAGUCAUGCAGAUUAUUGAAAAUGCUAUUGCACUCGAGAAAAUUAUCAUUGAUACAAGCCAAGGACAUAGGAGGAGGGGACCAUGGUUGAAGAGACAACUAGCUGCAAGAACAAGAGCUGAGCAAUUGAAAUCACAUGUACCUCCGAGCCUGGAAUUUAUAGUACUUUAAAUCUUAAGCAGGUGUAUGGUUUUGGAAUUCAAUUUUUUUUAGUAUCUACUUCUGAUGUUUGGUAUUAAUAUUAAGAAUUUAUGGUCUCAAUUAAUGCUUAUUUGGUUUGCUUAAUUGUGAAUGAGAGUGCUGCACAAACUUAAAAAUUCUCCUAAUGCAUUUUGGGGAUCGAGGGAUUCACGACUUCCAUACUCCCAAAACCCUCUUGCGUUAAUAAGCCAGUUGCAUAUUCCCUAGAUAUCGUCAUUGUGUCUUCUUUCAAUUGCAAUAUGAAGACCAUGUCUUAUCUUAUAGGUAAAAGUACAUUUUGAUACUAGCACAUGCACUUGAGAGGAGUAGGAAAGAGUUCAUCUAGAAGAUUAAAAAAUGUUGAAGAUUUAAAGAUUAAGGUGGUGUUUGUUUUUUUGGUUUUUUGCUGAAAGCAAUUUGUUUUCAGAAUUUAGGAUGUUUGUUUUUAUACUUUUUUAUGACUUAUUAUAGACUUUUUAUUAAAUAGAAAAAACCAAAAUAUGUAAUUUUUUCUAAAUAGAAAAAAUAACAUAUUGAUUUUUCUUUACUUUUUAAUAUUUAAUAAAAAUAAAAUACUACAAAAACAAACAAUCUAAUAUUUAACACUAUUAAGCAUUUAUGUUCUAUUUAAAAUUAAGUAAAAAAACAAACACCAUCUAAGAAUUAAUAGUUGAAGAAUUCAUAAAUUGAGUUUUGAGGCCCUUUAAAAUCAAGUUUGAAAAAUCCAAAACCAAGCAUUCACACCCUUUGAUUAUCAUUGUUCAAUUCAAGUGAAGCCGAUUCAAAGGCUAGAUCAUGCUGAAGGCCAAGUCAUAAUAAGACCCAAAUCAAGUUAAAACCCAAGUCAAUGUGACCAAAAGCCAUGUGAAGGUCAAGAGUAGUCAAAUUUCAAGUAACACCAAAGGCCAAACUAAGUCAAAUCCCAACUCAAGCCAAUACAAAUCAAGUAAAAAUUUAAAGUCAAACCAGUGUUUAAGUCAAGUCCAUGCCCAAGCCAUGUCAAGACCUAAGUCAAUGCAUGUCCAGUGCAAAGGUAUACCUCUUCAAUAAUGCCUGGGUUUGUAAUGAUUCUUCCAUACACCACUUUGAUUGUUGUUCAAAAUUGUUUGUCAAUGGUGGAUUAAUCUGCUUAACAGUUGCUCAAUGACAAACAAAUCCACAAAAAAUGAACUUCACCGUAACUACUGAUCAUCAUUUUAAGCAGAAUCUACCAAACGGACCAAACCUCAUCUUUCUUCCUCUUCUAUUCUUCCUUCUUUACAUAUUUUCUUUUAUCAAAGUUCGAAUACUGCUAAAAUUUCGGCCAUUUCCUCAGUCAGAAUUUACAACCUUUGUUUUGGACGGGGGGUUUAGGUUGAGCUUAACUGCAUGCACAUGAAAGUAAGUUUUAGGAACAUGCUAUGUACCGUAAGGUACCUAUCAAGUCCAAAUCUAGACCAUUGGAUAUGUAUAGUGAGAUUUAGGCAUUGAACAAGGGUACAAGAAAAUGAGACCAAUGUAUAAGGGUAUAAACAAAUGAGAUUAUGAUAUAAACAAUAAAACUUAAAAAAAUUGUACAUACACUACUUGAUUGAUGGUGUGUUUUUAAUACGUAUUGAAAAAAAUAUCAUUAGCUAGGUAUCAUAAAUGAACCUUAAGUUUUAAUAUUCACUUCUUCCUUAUAUUCUUCAACAGUAGGACACGCCUUUUCAUUAAAGUUCAUUUUCAAAAGUAGUUUUCCUAACAUUUUUCAAACACUUCUUUCAUAUCCUCAUUUUUUUUUUUUAAGAACAAAACUCCAUUUUUUGAACUUGGAAUGUUGUCAAAAUGUUUUUUAUAUUUUCAAAUAUUUUUAAAAAAUAACUUAUACAUAUAAUGCUUUAUUUUUAAUCAUUUUUUAUAUUUAUACAAUUAUUUUUUUUUAAAAAAAACCUCAAAGAACAAGUAAAAACAAUUAAAUUAUGUCAUCUGCAAGGCAACUUGUUUUUAAAACAAUUUUCAAAAACGUGUUUUGUAAAUGAUUGAUCGUCAAACAUGUUUUCAUAUUUUUCAGUUCUUAAAAAUAAUUAAAACUUAGUUUUGAAAACAAUUUUGAAACAUAGUCCAAUCCUAUAUAUGUAUAUCCUAAAAUUGGGAGUAUAUGUUGUAUAAUUUAUGAGUAAUAUCAUAAAAUAAUUAUCUGAAGUGACUUUUGGAUAAAAAAGGAAAGAGAAAAAAAUGAUUUUAGUAUUUUAAUUAAAGUGAUUUUCAAAUUUUUUGAAAAUGGCAUUAAAUUUUUUUGUUAAACAUUGGAUUUGUACAAGAAGAACACUUUCAAUAAAACCAUUUUAAUCACUCUCUCAAUAUAAACAAAAAAUUGGAGAUGGGUACUUUUAAUCUAAUUGAAAAAGAAUGUUAAAAAUAUUUAUAUGCAAUUUCAAAUAAUUUUUGAACCAAAACUCUAUAGUGCCCUCAUGGACACACAGAUUCAUGAAUUAUUAUUAUUUGUCCUUUAUGUCACAUGUUUUAUGUCCAAAGAUUUAUCAAUAUUGCGUGGGACCAAAUGAAUGAUGUUCAUACAUUUGGGUCUUCUAUGUCUUUUUGAAAUACCCCAUCCAAAAAUAAUUUCAAUUUGGAAGCACAUAAUAUGAUAUAUGUGGGAGCAAAUGAUAGAGAUUUGCUUCAUUUUAUCAAAUAAUUGAAUUGAGGAUAAGAUAUACAUUAAUGUAAUCUCAUCCUAUUGAAGUGAAGGAGAUUUUAGUAUAAUAAUUUUGUGAUUAUUAAUUUAGGAAUAUUAGAUUUUUAUCAUUGACAUUGGCUUAGCAAGGAUUUUAUUACCUACGGCAAGACGUAACAAAAAAGGCAAAAAGACUUACAAAAGAUUCCAUUUAUAAACUCUUUGGUCCCUUAAAAUUAAAAGAACAAACAAUUGUCACAAUCAUACUCUUUUAUUGAUGGACUUGGGAGAUGAUAGAAAUGGAAGUUAAUAGAUAACUCUUCAUAGAUGAUUUUGAUAACAAACAAACGAUGAUUGAAAUAGGGAUGGUAUAUGCAACACCCAAACUAUAUAUCAAUCAUAUUUUCAUACGACGGAUGAAGCACAGUAUCGAACCAUCGCCGCAUUUACAUUGGCACAGGGUCUAUAAGCAUCCAUGCAAUAAGAUCUUUCAUCAACUUCCCCACAUGUGUGUACUCGUCUUGAUUCUUGUAUAAGAGAUCUAUCACACGGGCAAAAUUAACAACACAUGUGAGAAGAGGCAUGGGCACUUGUGUACGUUUGAGACACUCCUCAUUCAUAUCCUUCCAUGCAUUCAUUAUUUCAUUAUUGAACUCCUCACACGCCUCUUGCUCAGUAACACCAUAUUGCUUCAUGUAGCAUUGAACUCUUGAGACAACAUAUCCUCUUUUUUGCUCAAACUGUCCAACAAAAAAAAGGAGAAAAUCAAACAAUUUCUAUUGUAUUAAGUUUCCUAUAUAGAUUACUUAAAACUAUAUUUAGUCAUAUAUAAUUAAAAUUAAUAAGAAACUUAUAUAUUUUAAAAUUAUUUAAUUUUUAUAUAAAAGAAUUAAAUAAGUGAAAUAGGGUACCUCAUGGUCAACUAUGUCAUCCAUGAGCCUGCAAAUGAUUGCUGAAGCUCUAACCAUCUUGGGGUCACUGAAAACCCAAUCGAAGGCCUUCUUGGUUACCAUAUCUCCCAUGCCAACAAAAGAUAUGGUUGCGAGCUGAAAGUAGCCACAACUUACUAGUGCAUUGGUCAUGUACUCCUCAAUUGUUGGUAUAUAUUCUUGCUUCAACCAUUUGGCUUCAACAAAAUAGGCUUGGACUUGCUUUUUCAUCUGAGUUACAUAAUCAUGCAAAAUAUACAUUAAUUUUGGCCAUACCAAACACAAUUCAACGGAACAAUAGGUCUAUGUUUAGUAGCUAGGAAAUUUUGAGGAAAAAUAUAAGAGAGAAUGUAAAAACGGAAAAGUAAAAGAAAAGAAAUGAUGAAAAAUAUAUAUUUAUAUAUAUAUAUAUAUAUAUAUAUAUAUAUAUAUAUUUAAAGCCGUAAAUUAUUUUUAUAUGCUAUUUUAAAUUCAUUUAACUUAUUUUAAUCCUUUAAUAUAAAAAUUAAAUAAUUUGAAAAUACAUAAUUUCCUAACUAAUUUUAAUUAUAUUUUAUUUUUUUAUUUUAUUUUCUGUCAUGUGAGAAUUAUUUUUCUUAUCAUUUUUUUUUUUCUUUCCUUCCUUAUGCUUACGAGAACCAAAUAUAACCUAAGGGAUCUAGAAGAAGAAGGGACAUUGAUGCCAAACUGCUUGUUUUGCAUAGUGAACACGGUAUGGUUUUUCUUGCUUGGUCAUCUCUUCCUCUAUUUCUUCAAAGACAUCUAAGAGAGCCUGAUAACACAACUUCAUAUAAUCUGGGAGUUGAUCUAUGCUGCCGGCAUCCCAUCUGCAAGUAAAGCAACAGAUAUAUUUGGAACUUUCUACCAGAAACUAGAAAUUAAGGUAAAGAUGGUGAUGUUCAUGUAUAUAUCAAACCUCUCAAUCGCUUCGGCAAAGAGUUUGAGUUCUUCAAAUGUACCAUGUGUGUCAUAUAUAUCAUCUAUAAUGGAUGUCAUGGCGAAUACUUUCAGUAAGAUCCUUCUAGCAAGGAAAUAUUGGGGCUCAAAGUACACUCCCAAUACCCAAAAGUAUCCCUCCACUAUUCUGUCCCUUGCAAAGGGUAGCUUUGUAGCAAAAUCUAAACCUUUCCACCACCUGAUCAAAGAUAUAUCAAUAGAUGAUCAGAGUCAUGAGAGUUGCUCAACAGCUAGCUUUCUGCAAACAAUUGGAGUUAAAAAACUUACUUAGUGAUCUCACUCAGCUCUUUCCUGUGGAGUGACUGCAACAGGUUGAAAUCUAACUUUGCAAGCUUAAGUAAAGAUUUAUUAUGUGAAUCAUAUUCUUGGUAGAUGGAAAUGUAGUGCCUUGCCUCCACCCUUAUUAAGCUCUUGCGAAUCGGCCGCUCUAGAGCGUGAAUCACUUGUUUUUGAGAGGAUUAUCUGAAUCAGGUGCCAUGGACUGAAGGUGGGCAGUGGUGAAAGCCUGGGCUUCAUCCAGUAUGUCUUCUCCAUGCACCAUUAAAUGUGUAGCUUCAUAUAGAGCUAGCAUGCCUGGUAAGUCACCCACCAAUGAUUCCUUGAAGUUGCCUUCCUCGUCCUUGAACUUCUUAAAUACAUCUAUUUCAUCAUCAAGGUUUAAUAUAUAACCAUUAAAUCAAAGAUAAUUUAUUCAAGACGACAUAUAUAUAUAUUUAUUUAUGAACUUCUUUUGAUCAUGUAGUAUUGUUUUAAAAUCGUGAGAACUUCUUGGAUCAGAUCAGUUAUUCAAGAUGACAUAUACAUAUUUAUGAACUCUUUUUAAUCAUGUAGAUGUGUUUUAAAGUAAAGAGGGUUUCUUGGACCAAAGCGGAUAAUAUCUACAAGAAAAACCACUGAAAGUUCAAUAGGGAACACCUAAAAGGAUGAUGAUCUUCAACCCAAGAUUCAAAGAUCUAAUCCUUAAAUGAGAUAUUAGGAAUGGUGUGACACUUUAGGCCUUCUCUCUAAGAUCCUUUCCAAGGAAUGAAAGGUCCCUCAAUAAUCUCUUUCCAAUAUCUUGAAAUUCAUCCAAAAUUCGUUUCUAAUUUUGGUAGGACUAUCAUGAUCUCUUAAGCGGACUUAUGCCACUUGAGUGGGAUUAGUUAUUUGAGUAGCCCCUGCUUCUUUUGAAAAAUCAUUUUAUAACAUUUUAAGUCUAAAAAUGAUACUGAACAUUUUUAUACUUCAAAGGAGCCUAAUAUGUCAUAUGUCAAACCUCUUUAGACGUACCCAUGACAUCCCAAUUGGACGAAAAACAACUCUUGAUCUUCAGUGAAGAGUAAGUCACUAUAAAAAAAGACUUCUAUAAUCAAAUAUUAAAAGGAAUAAAUCUACCAACAUAUAAAUAAGACUUAAUGUCCUAAUAUACAUGUUUGUAAGGUGGUUAUAAUUAGUAUCAAAGCCCAUCCAAACUCUGGUGUGAAAGUUCAUUUAGUCUCGCAAUCCCAUGAAACAUAACGAGAAUGAUUGUGAUAUCCUAUGUCGAAUAGGAGAAAAACUUUUUGAUACCAUAUAUAUAGACCCUUCUUAAUCAUGUAGACUUGUUUUAAAAUUGUGAGAGCCCUUUGAACUAGAAUCAAUAGUAUUUACAUGGUUAAUAGUAGAUCAUUACACAUACUCGCAGCAAAUAUGGGACAAAAGCUUUUACCGGAUGGAAUGUGGUAGCCUUCUUGUCUUAGUAACCGGAUUCGAAGAGCAGCACUGGCAAGGUCAUCGUUAUCAUCAUCAACCAAAUUAUAUGUUUCAUACAUAACUUUUAAUGCUUCUUCUAUCUCCCUUUCAAAGUGGUAAGCCAAGCCCGAGCGUUGGAUGGAAUCUAUGAAGUUCAGCAGUUGUGAAGACUUCCCAGCAGUAGCUUUUAGCUCCUUUCUCACUUCUUCUUUCAGUCCUUCAAGUUCUUUUUCUUUGCAGGCAUGUGUUACCUGGACCAAAAAUUAUAUAAACAACAUAAACAUCUAAUACUACAAAAAAUAAUUUUUUUUUAGAACUUCAAGUAUUUACCGUAUCAUCAGGAAUGUAGGUGAGGAAACAGUCACCCCAGAAGUUGGGAACAAAGUUUGCAGUGUUGCGAGCCAGCUUAGGAUCAGCCUUCUGGGUGAUUGAUAGUGGGAAAGAAGACAUACUUUGGCCAGAGAAGAAGCCUAAGAAAGUGUCGUUGCUUCUUAUGCCCUUGUCGGUGGUAUGUGGAAGUGGAACUCAUGCAUUUAUAGGCCGGGCAGCUAGGCUUCUUAGUUUUGAGAAAAUCAUUUCCUUUCCGUUUUUUUUUCUUUUCUUAAUAUUUUCUGGAGCCAAAUAUAACCAAAACAAUUAUCUGAAGUGAUUUUUGGAAAAAAAAAAUAAAAAAAUGCUUUUGGUCUUUUAAUUAAAGUGAUUUUCAACAUUUUUAAAAGUGAUAUUAAAUUUUUUUGUUAAACAUUGGAUUUGUACAAGAAGAGAACUUUCAAUAAAACGAUUUUAAUUACUCUCUCAAAAAUGUAUAAACAAAAAAUUGGAGAUGGGUAUUUUUAAUCUAAUUGAAAAAGAAUGUUAAAAAUAUUUAUAUGCGAUUUCAAUAAUACCCUCAUGGACAUCAUUCAAGACAUUAUUAUUUGUCGGUAACAUGUCACAUAUUUCAUAUGCAAAGAAUAUGCGAAGAUUUAACAAUAUUGUGGGGGACCUGAUGUUCAUACAUUUGAAUUGAGGAUAAGAUAAGAUGAUCAACAUUGAUGCACUCUCAUCCUAUUGAAGUAAAGGAGAUUUUAGUAUAAUAAUUUUGUGAUUAUUUAUUUAGGAUAUUCGAUUUUUAUCACCUUUUGUGGACAUUGGCUUUCCAAGGAUUUUUUUAUUUUUUAUUUUAUUAUAAAGCCAAUAAUUAUAAAACUGUCAAAAUUGUGAAAAUAUUGUGGAUUGAAGUCGAGCAUGUUAACAAGGUAAACUUAUACUCUACAUUUGCUAAAAACCACCAAAAUUGUGAUUCGGAAUUUUUGUAGGAUGGGAUUUAACAAUAAAAAACUCUUUUUUACAAGUAAGAAGUUAGGAGAUUGUUUGGGAAUGAUAAUUUAGAACAAUUUUUUGUUUUUUAUAACAAAAAACAAAAAAAAAUAUGUUGGACAAUUAAAAAUUGUUUUUUGUUUUAUGUUAUUUAGAAUAAAAAAUAUGAUAUUUUCAAAUAACAUCUUUUUAUUGUUUUUUAUUAUUUUUACUUAUUUUCAAAUAAUAUUUUUUUAGAACUCUUAAUAUUUACCGUAUCAUGGGGGGUGUAGGUGAGGAAACAGUCACCCCAGAAGUUAGGAAGAAAGUUUGCAGUGUUGCGAGCCAGCUUCGGAUCAGCCCUCUGGGUGAUUGAUAGUGAGAAAGAAGCCAUGCUUUGCCUAAAGAAGAAACUUAAGAAAGUGUCGUUGCUGCUUAUGCCCUUGCGGGUGGUAUGUGGAAGUAGAACUCAAUGUAUUUAUAGGGAAGCCCUGGUUUCUCUAGGCUGUUUGGAUUCAUAGAAAAAAAAAUAUAUAUAUAUAUAUAUAUAUAUAUAUAUAUAUAUAGAAAUAGCUAGAUUAAAGAUGGACAAGGUGGAAGCUCAUGCUACAUGUGUUAUAAUAUCAAAAAAUAAUUGUAUAAAAGAUCACAAAUGAGCUUAAUCCUUUAAAAAAACAAACAAAAAAAAAGAAUAUUGAAGUAUAGAAAUUUCAAGAUAAUAAUAUUUUUUUUUGUUAAAUAUAUAUCACCUGUUAUUUGGGUGGAGCAAAUAGCAGCAAAUUCGAUGAUUCCAAAAAAAUCAAACACAGUCACACUCAAUUAAUUAAUUAAUUUAUUUUCUUUUACUUUAAAUUUGGAGAUGGGCAUUUUUAAUCUAAUUAAAAAAGAAUGUUAAAAAUAUUUAUAUGCCAUUUCAGAUAAUAUUUGAACCAAAACUCUAUAAUGCCCUCAUGGACAUAGAGAUUCAUGACUUAUUAUUAUCUAUCGCUAACAUGUCACAUGUCUUAUAUGCAAAGAUUUAACAGUAUUGUGGGGGACCAAAUGAAUGAUGUUCAUACAUUUAAAUGAGGAUAAGAUAAGACGAACAUUGAUGCACUCUCAUCCUAUUGAAGUAAGGGAGAUUUUAGGAUAUUCAUUUUUUAUUUCCUUUUGUGGACAUUGGCUUACCAAGGAUUUUUUUUUCUUUUAUGAUAAAUCUAAUAAUGAUAAAACUGUCAAAAUUGUGAAAAUAUUGUGGAUUGAAGUUGAGCAUGUUAACAAGGUAAACUUAUACUCUACAUUUGCUAAAAACCACCAAAAUUGUGAUUCGGAAUUUUUGUAGGAUGGGAUUUAGCAGUAAAAAAACUCUUUUUUACAAGUGAGAAGUUAUGAGUUUGUUUGGAAAUGACAGUCUAGAACAAUUUUUUGUUCUUCAUAACAAAAAAACAUUAAAAAUGGGUUGGACAAUUAAAAAUUAUUUUUUAUUUUAUGUUAUUUAGAAUAGAAAAUAAGAUGUUUUCAAAUAACAUCUUUUAGUUUUUUUUUUUUUCACUUAUUUUCAAAUAAUAUUUUUUUAGAAUUCUUAAUAUUUACCGUAUCAUCAGGGUGUGGGUGAGGAAACAGUAACCCAGAAGUUAGGAAGAAAGUUUGCAGUGUUGCAAGCCAGCUUAGGAUCAGCCCUCUGGGUGAUUGAUAGUGAGAAAGAAGCCAUACUUUGCCUAAAGAAGAACCUUAAGAAAGUGUCGUUGCUGCUUAUGCCCUUGUGGGUGGUAUGUGGAAGUAUAACUCAUAUUUAUAGGGAAGCCCUGGUUUCUCUAGGCUGUUUGGAUUCAUAGAAAAAAUAUAUAUAUAUAUAUGGAAAUAGCUAGAUUAAAGAUGGACAAGGUGGAAGCUCAUGCUACACGUGUUAUAAUAUCAAAAAAUGAUUGUAUAAAAGAUCACAAAUGAGCUUAAUCCUUUUUUUAAAAAAUAAUAAUAAUAUUGAAGUAUAGAAAUUUCAAGAUAAUAAUAUUUUUUUUGUUAAAUAUAUAUCACCUGUUAUUUGGGUGGAGCAAAAAGCAGCAAAUUCGAGGAUUCCAAAAAAAUCAAACAUAGUCACACUCAAUUAAUUAAUUUAUUUAUUUUCUUUUACUUUAAAUUUGUUGGGGUUAAGAUGAGGCAAAAUAAAAUAUGUGGACCCAAUUAAUGGAUUAUCAAUAUUUUAAAUUAAUAAAAAUUGAACUAGAAUAUACAUUUUUAGAACUGAUUUUUGUUGGGGGCCUAGUGUGAUGAUCGAUGUUGAUCUAUUGAGUUUUGCAACAAUUAAAUGUAAAGAGAAAACAUGAAAAAUUAUAUUAUCAAAUUUAUAUUAAGAGUUCCUAAGAAUUUGUUUGAUAAUUAUUAUACAACGUACUUUUGAUAUAAAAAAUGUCUUUGAAAAAAAAAAUUAUAUAUUUGGUAAAAUUUUAAAAAUAUUUUUAAAACUUUUAAAAAUAACUUUUAGAGUUGAAGAAAGUAGGCAUUGAUAGAAAAUAUUUUUAAAAGAAUUACUUAAAGUGUUUUUUUUUUUUUUGUUUUUUUUUUUUAUGUUAAAAACAUUUUUUUAAAAAUAUUUAAUUUAUCAAAUACUUAAUUAAUUUUUUUUUUUAAGUUAAAAACACUUUUUAAAAUCAUUAUCAAACUUACUUUUUAAUUUAGUUUGUGGUAUAAAAAUAAUUAGGAUCAACAUUUUAAAAGUCUUAUUUCAGAACAUUUUGGAAAAAGUUAUUAGUUCCAAAUUAUUUUUAACUUAUUUUUCAUAAAAAUAUUAAUUAGUUUACAGUAAUCUAUAAAAUACAAUUGGAAACAUAAAGUUUCUUUUGAAAAACAAACCCUAUUCAAAACAAAUAAAAAACAUAAAUAAAAGCCAAUUUUAUGUUAAUUCUUAAGCAUUUUAUAUUUGUUGUAUUGCGCUCAAAUAUAGUUAAUAUAUUAUUUUUUGAAAAAAAAAACAUAUUUUCACAUGCUCAUAUAAAAAUAAUUAUAAAAUAAUAAAAUUUUAAAAAUAAUUCAAAUUUUAAAAACAAACCCUAUGUACCGAGCUGUUUCUUUAUCAUCCUCAUCAAACUUCACAUUAGAUGUCGUAUGCUAUAUCUUCAUUUUCAUUGUGUGGUUUGUAGUAGUAUUCUUCUAUUUUUUUCUUUCGAUUUUUGAGGAAGACAUAAAUUGGAAUAUUGUUAUGAGGGAAUAAAAUCUUAUAUAAAUUGGAUUGUUUGGAGGGAAGAAAUCUUAUGCAGAUUGCUUGGCAUGGUUGGUGCCACAUCCUAAUUUCCAUACCAUGGCCUACUAUUUUAGAUUUUAGUUGGCUUGUGGGCUCUCUCCCUAAUUAGUUGGCAAAAGUUUCCCUUUUCAAAGAAGUAUUUGUCGGAUUUUUCAUCUUGGUUGUCGAAAGUACAUAUAAUAAAAUUUACAUCAGUGUAUGAUAAUAUAAAUAAUAAAGAUGUAAAAGAAUGAUAUAAAAAACAGAUGAUGGGACCAAGAUAUAAAGUAGUAGGACCGAAUUUGAUACAAAAUAAUGAGACAUGAACGUGAUUGAUCAAGUUUUUAUAUAUCAACCAAACCCUAUUAAGAUUUAGCUAGCUUGGUUUCUUUUGUGAUUUGAUGUUUCUAAGAUGGGGAGAAGAUGAGUUUUUUUUUUUUUUUUUUUUUGAACAUUUGUAUAUAAUCCAACCAAAAAAAAGGAAGCUAUUAUUAUUUCACAACAAUAUGGUAACAGUGCAUUGCAUUCUUACUGUCCUAACCCAAUUAAAUCUCAAAUGCAAUAGGAAACAUCGUAAAGCCAAAGCCACAAUUAUAUGGGCAAAGGGUCUAUGAGUAUGGAUGCAAUGAGAUCUUUUGUAAUGUUUUCAACAUGUGUGUACUUGUCUUUGUCCUUAUACAGGACAUCCAUGACGUGGAUAAGAUUAAGAAUAAGUGUGAGGAGAGACAUUAGUGUUUGUGUAGGUCUAAGCAAUGUUUUUAGAAUUGAACCGGUCAUUAAACUGAAAAAGUUACUAGUUCACGGUUCACUGGUUAGAUCAAUGGUCGAAUCGCGGUUAAAGUGUUUUUUUUUUAUUUUUUAUGUUAAAAACGUUUAUAGGGAAGUAGAACUCAAUGUAUUUAUAGGGAAGCCCUGGUUUCUCUAGGUUGUUUGGAUUCAUAGAAAAAAAUAUAUAAUAUAUAUAUAUAUAUAUAUAUAGAAAUAGCUAGAUUAAAGAUGGACAAGGUGGAAGCUCAUGCUACAUGUGUUAUAAUAUCAAAAAAUAAUUGUAUAAAAGAUCACAAAUGAGCUUAAUCCUUUAAAAAACAAACAAAAAAAAAGAAUAUUGAAGUAUAGAAAUUUCAAGAUAAUAAUAUUUUUUUUUUGUUAAAUAUAUAUCACCUGUUAUUUGGGUGGAGCAAAUAGCAGCAAAUUCGAUGAUUCCAAAAAAAAUCAAACACAGUCACACUCAAUUAAUUAAUUAAUUUAUUUUCUUUUAUUUUAAAUUUGGAGAUGGGCAUUUUUAAUCUAAUUAAAAAAGAAUGUUAAAAAUAUUUAUAUGCCAUUUCAGAUAAUAUUUGAACCAAAACUCUAUAAUGCCCUCAUGGACAUAGAGAUUCAUGACUUAUUAUUAUCUGUUGCUAACAUGUCACAUGUCUUAUAUGCAAAGAUUUAACAAUAUUGUGGGGGACCAAAUGAAUGAUGUUCAUACAUUUGAAAUGAGGAUAAGAUAAGAUGAACAUUGAUGCACUCUCAUCCUAUUGAAGUAAAGGAGAUUUUAGCUAGUAUAAUAAUUUUGUGAUUAUUGAUUUAGGAUAUUCAUUUUUUAUUACCUUUUGUGGACAUUGGCUUACCAAGGAUUAUUUUUUCUUUUAUUAUAAAUCCAAUAAUGAUAAAACUGUCAAAAUUGUGAAAAUAUUGUGGAUUGAAGUCGAGCAUGUUAACAAGGUAAACUUAUACUCUACAUUUGCUAAGGUAAACUUAUACUCUACAAGGUAAACUUAUACUAUCAUCCUCAUCAGACCUCACGUUAUAUGUCAUAUGCUAUAUCUUCAUUUUCAUCGUGUGGUUUGUAGUAGUAUUCUUCUAUUUUUUUCUUUCGAUUUUUGAGGAAGACAUAAAUUGGAAUAUUGUUUCGAGGGAAUAAAAUCUUAUAUAAAUUGGAUUGUUCUGAGGGAAGAAAUCUUAUCCAGAUUGCUUGGCAUGGUUGGUGCCACAUCCUAAUUUCCAUACCAUGGCCUACUAUUUAGAUUUUAGUUGGCUUGUUGGCUCUCUCCCUAAUUAGUUGGCAAAAGUUUCCCUUUCCGAAGAAGUAUUUAUCGUAUUUUUCAUCUUGAUUGUCGAAAAUAUAUAUAAUAAACUUUACAUCAGUGUAUGAUAAUAGAUGUAAAAGAAUGAUAUCAAAAACAGAUGAUGGGACCAAGAUAUAAAGUAGUAGGACCGAAUUUGAUACAAAAUAAUGAGACUUGAACGUGAUUGAUCAAGUUUUUAUAUAUCAACCAAACCCUAUUAAGAUUUAGCUUGGUUUCUUUUGUGAUUUGAUGUUUCUAAGAUGGGGAGAAGAUGAGUUUUUUUUUUGUUUUUUUUUAUUGAACAUUUGGUAUAUAAUCCAACCAAAAAAAAGGAAGCUCUUAUUAUUUCACAACAAUAUGGUAAUAGUGCAUUGCAUUCUUACCCUGCUAGCCCAAUUAAAUCUCAAAUGCAAUAGGAAACAUCAUAAAGCCAAAGCCACAAUUAUAUGGGCAAAGGGUCUAUGAGUAUGGAUGCAAUGAGAUCUUUCAUAAUGUUUUCAACAUGCGUGUACUUGUCUUUGUCCUUAUAAAGGAUAUCCAUGACGUGGAUAAGAUAAAAAACAUGGAUAAUUGUAUUUUGAACCUCAAAAAAUUAAGUUUUAAUCCAUAUAAGUUCAUUAUUUAAACCCAAAAUUUAGAGAAAGUGUGAAAUUGAAAAGAAUGAUAUUAAUUUUUUAUCUUUUAAAAAAUGACCUUUAUUGACUAUGAAAAAAAGAGUAAAAAAAUAUUAAUUUAAAUUUUAUUCAUUUUUUAAAUCUCACUAAAAUUUAAUUUAAUUUAGUGAUUUGGAAAAAAAUACACCCUUUUCCAAAAAAAUAAAAAAAAAUUAUUAUUAUUUAAAAAUCAAACAUCUUGAAAAAUAUAUAUUUUUAAAAUUGUAUGUAAAAAAUAACUAAAAAUAUGUCAAAAUUAAUUUUUUUAAAUGUAAUAAUUUUAGAAUAUAUAUAUAUAUAUAUUUAAAAAAAAUUAGUUUUCUACAAAUAAUAAAUUUUCGGAAUAAUUAUUAAAAAAAAAUUAAGAUAAAAAAGUUUAUCAAAUAUUAUGAUAGAAAAUAUUCAAAUUAGUUUUAAAUGGUAUAUUAGUCUCUUCAUAUUUUAUAUCAUUCCUAUCAAUUGUGCACCUUUUAUGAGCCAAAUAUUAAUUUUUGAGCUCAAUACUCAUCUUUGUCCUUGUACAAGACAUCCAUGACACGAAUAAAAUUGAGAACAAGUAUGAGGAGAGGCAUCAGUGCUUGCAUAGGUCUGAGAAACUCCUCAUUUAUAUCAUUCUAGGCAUUCAUCAUUUGGUUAUUCAACUCCUCAUACACUUUUUACUCAAAAACCCCAUAUUGCUUCAUGUUGCAUUCCACGUUAGAGGCUAUGUGCCCUCUCUUUUGCUUAAACUAUACAAAAAGUGAAAAUCAAAUUAACAUUCAACAUUAUAUUGAAUUUUUUAGAGUUUAUAAAGUGAAUGACGGUAUAACAUAAUGUUUGAUUGUAAAGCCUAAAUUAGUUUUAUUAUACUGCAUAAAGAGUGUUGAGGGUUGAGCUUCUCACUGAGAUCAAAGAAAUUUUUUUAUUUAUUGAAUGAUGAGUUUGCCUCUAGUUGUUAUAUCUAACUCUCUUAUGAUUUAGGAUUUUUUUUUUAGAGAGUGAAAAUCACGCGUAACCAUAAUUGAGAAGAGAAUGAGAGCUUUUACCAUUGCAACCCUUAUAUAUAUAUUUUUUCGUUUAAUCAAUGGAUUCUUAAAUAUUGAUGUGCUCUAUGAACAUAGAGGUCAUAUUAAUUACCAAAUCACAUUAAAAUCCCAUCCUUUUCUUUAUUUAUGCUUGUGUGUGAUCAUGUUAAUAUAUAGUUAUCAUCUAAUUAUACUUGAUGGGAAAUGAUGUCAUCCAUGAGCCUACAAAUGAUUGAUGAAGCUCUAAUCAUCUUAUGGUUGCUGAAUAUCCAAUCAAAAGCUUCCUUUGUUGCUAUAUCUCCCGUGCCAAUGAAGGAUGUGGCUAGCAUAGAGUACCCACAACUUACUAACGCGUUACUCAUAUACUCAUCCAUGCUCGGUAUGUAUUCUUGGUGGAACCAUUUUGCUUCAGCAAAGUAGGAUCGGAUUAGUUUUUCAUCUGGGUUAUAACAUUAUGUUCCUAGCUUGUACAAUAUAAAUCACGUCAUUGAAAGGUAAAAAAAAAAUAUAUAAAGAGGAAGGACAAACCGCUGCUUUUGCAUAUGGAACACUACAUAGUUUACCUUCCUUGGCCAACUCUUCCUCAAUUUCUUCAUAAACAUCUAAGACAGCUUGAUAACACAAUUUCAUAUAGUCUGGGAGUUGGUCCAUGUUGCUGAUGUUCCAUAUCUGAAAGUGAACAGAUGAAGAUGCACUUAGAUAACUUUGAAUCCGUAAUCUCCAAAAAAAAAUGUAGAAAUUAAAUUGAAGAUAACAAUAUGCAUCUGUCAACCUCUCAAUUGCUUCUGUAAAGAGUUCGAGCUCGUCAAAUGUGCCAUACACAUUUUAUACAUCAUCCACAAUGGAUGUCGUGGCCAUUACUUUGGUUAGGACCCUUCUAGCAAGUAAGUACUGGGGCUCAAACCAUACCCCCAAUACCCAAAAGUAGCACUCCACCAGUCUGUCCCGAGCAAAAGAUAGUUUUGUUGCAAAGUCUAAAUCUUUCCACCACCUGAAAUGGGUAAACUCCGGCAGAUUAUUAGUAUAUUCUAUCUACCUUGUGAGCUUGACACAUGUAAUGUUGGAUUGUGAAGCCCGGAUCAGUAUUAUUCCACUACUCAAAAGGACAUGGAGGGUUAACUUCCUCCUGAUCAUUUAACCCCUUAUGUGUAACUGCAAUUGAGAGGAGAAAGAGGUCAGUCCUAUCAUGUCUUUCUAAGGAGGAAAGAGGGAAACAAAGUAAAAAAAAAUCAUGUGAUACUGAAUGUAUCCAUAAGACAGCCCUAGAUGAUUGUGUGGUGGGGUGUGGAAUAUCAAAGAUAUUCGCUUCAAUUAUGUGAAUGAAAAUUAUGGCUUGUGUUACUCAUGUGCCUAUUAUAGUACAUGUGGGUCACAUCCCUUUCUGGAUUGUUUGAGGAAAACGGAUAUCUUGUUCUGGAAAUGUACCUGAGCUUGUUUCUCAUCCAUCCAGUGGUCAUUUUGGACUGCAAAUGAAAGCUUUGGCUGUUAAUCUUGUACUACUCCAUAUACCCUCCUUGCUUUUUACUUUUAAUUUGGGUGUGUUAUUUGAAUCAAAAUCUUGUGUUACCCGCGCAUUUUCAGGAUAGCUCUGGAUCUUUUUGGACGUUGCUUAUUGGCUGGAUAUGACCAAUGUUUUCAAAACCGGACCGGUGAUCGAACCGGAAAAGUUACCGGUUCACGGUUCACCGGUCGGACCGGCGGUCGAACCGCUAUCGAACCGGUGACGUCAUAAAUAUAUAAUUUAUAUAUUAUUAAAAUUAAAAAUAAUUAUAAAAAUUUUAAAAUAUAUAUGAAUAAAUUAAACAUCAAUAAUAUUAUUUUAUAUCUUUGAUAUUAUCAAAUUAAAUCAUAUUAAUAUUUUAAAUUUUAUUAAAUGAAAUAUGUAUAAUAUUUAAAUGUGAAUAUAUAAAAAAAUGAAAAUUUAAACUAAUUUCAUAAUUUUUAAAAAUAUUAUAUUAUUUUUAUUUAAUAUUUUAAAAAAAUUUAAAAUCUAAUAUAUAUUGUUUUGUUUGGCAUAUGAGAUAAUAAAACACAUGUAGCCGAGUGGUGUCUUAGGUGGACUAUAGUUAAGGAUUGGUCCAAGGUUCAAAUCCUCUUGUGGAGUUUUGUUAUGUUUUUUUUCAUUGAUAUUUAGCAAUCCUACAUCGGAAAUGAGAGAAAUAAGGGGUCAAAUGACUCCUAUAAAAGCCAUCCUCAGCAAAGGCUUGGCAUGGUCUUGUGGGCUCAAAAAAAAGCCCACAAUAAUUGGAGUGGGCAUGUGGGCUGUGUCAUAAGACAGGCCCAACAUGGAAUCCUUCCUUUCAUGCAAUGAGAGGGUAAUAGUUUUAUUUUGUAAUUUUUUUUUUUCAAAAAAUUAAAAUUAUUUGAAUCGGCCGGUUCCCUUGGAACCGGCCGGUUCACCGAUUGAACUGCCGGUUUGAGCGAUUCAACCCCGGUUCGAUCUCAAUCCGGUCCAAAUGACCGGAUCGAACCGGAAUGAUGACUGGUCGAUGGUUGGACCGGCCGGUCCGGUUUUUAAAACAUUGGAUAUGACAAUAGCUCAGAACCACAAAAAAAAAGUAAAUUUUUUUUUUCUUCCUGUUGUCAUCGAUGAUAAACCACGAUUAUUGAUCCAUUAUCGGUCUUUGGCUUCAACAAAGUAGGCUUCGUCUCCCUUUUCCUCCAUUUCUGCAGAACACCAUUUCAUAUAAUGGUCUAGGAGUUGAUCUUAAUUAGCACCGAUAGUGGAUGUCAUGACAAGUCAUUAUUAUUAUUAUUAUUAUUAUUAAUCUUGGAUUCAAUAAGGUCAAAAUAAAAGAAUUGGGAUUAAGGAAUUUUGAUUAAUGGAAAUUCAAAAAUAAUAGCCAGAUAAUACUAUUUCACAUUGAAGCUUGGGAAGCAAUAAAAAUGGAAAAUUGGUAAUCGACUCUCUCAUAUAAGUUGAUAUAAUUAACAAAGUAUAUAUGUGAAAGGGUUUGCAUAUGUAUGAUAUAUCCAAAAUUGAUCCAAUUAAUAGUAAAUUAAGUCCAAGCAUUCCAAAAUACUCUAUCAGUAAUUAAAUGUGUUUAUGUAAUGAAGAUUUUGACUCAUUUACAUGUUAAAAAACAGUUAAACUUUAUUUAUUUUUAAAUCCAUUUUAAAUCAAAUAUAUUAACAAUUAUUAUAUUCAUUUUUAACCAAAACAAAUUAUACCUUUUCAUGUUAAUAUCCAUAUUUUUAUAACAUAUACUAAAAUAAUAUAUUUUUAUAAAAAGAAAUAUAAUUUAUGAUUUUAUUAUAAUAUUACUAUUCAUAUUUUUAUUAAAAACCAUUUAUUUACAAUUACAAAACCAUUUUGAUUUUCAAUAAGAUUGAAAUUAAAUUUAAUUAACAUUAUAUAAAUUAAAUUUACAAUAUUUUUUCAAAAUCAAAAUAAAAAAUUAUUUUUAAAAAAAUUUAUUAAAACAUGUUUUUUUUUUUUUGAAAAAUAUAUUUUAAAACAACUUAUCAAAUAUCUUUAUUUUUAUAAAAUACUAAAACAUUGGUUUUCCUUUUUAACUUAAACUUAAUUUCUGAAAACUAGAAAAUAUGGUCAAAUGGGAUCUUAUUUUAUUUUUUUUUAUUUAAAGUGAUUUUUAAAGAUUUUAAAACUUCGUUAAACAUUUCAUUUAUACAAGAAAAGCACUUUCAAUCAUUUAAAAAACGCUUUUAAUCACUCUUGCAAAUAUGCUAGAAACCAAAAAUUAGAGAUUGAUACAAUUAGUCUAGUUGAAAAAUAAUAUUAACGUAAAGAUAUUUUGUAAUGAUAAUUUUUAUUUAAUUUAAAAUUUUACACUUUUCAUCAAUUUGCAAUCACAUAGGCCUACCAAGGAUUUGAUUUUAUCUUCUAAAUUCAAUGAUUAUAGUAAUAAAACAUUCAAAAAUUGUCACACAUUAUAAGUCAAAUUAAUUUAUGCACAUUAAAUAUUAAUAUACAGAAUGUCUCAUCUUUUCUAUCAAAUUAUGUCUUUGACUAACAACUUUUUGUAAUUUUUGUUUAAUUAGUUUGAAAUCAUAGUUUGAAAAUACAUAUCUCAAAAUGUGGUUUCUAAAUUUGUACUGAAUGCUAGGUUUUGAAAUACAAAAGCUCCAACAGCAUAUUUUGUGGGCUAAAGGUGAGUUUGAGGCAAAAGUCUAUAUGCCCUCACACAUUGAUUGAUGAAUUAUUGCUAUUUGUGGUUGAUUUGUCACUUCUUUCAUGUCAAAACACUUAGCAAACAUGUGGGACAAACUGAACGACUUUCAUACGAUCGGGCUUCUAAUGUCCUGUUGAUAUCAUCCCAUUCAAAAAUAAUUUCAACUUAGAAACAUAAAAAGUGUUACAAGUGAGUAGACAUUUGCCCCACAUCAUAAAUAAUUGAAUCAAAGAUAAGAUUUUCAUUGCCUUUUAUGGACCAACCAAAGAUUUUGAGUCAUAGCAAGUAUUUAUAAUAAUUGAAGGUACUAUCUAUAUUAUUAAAGGAUAGUACUUAUGCGAUCACACCUUCAAUUGAUUAGAAAUGCACAAAAUUUUAAUUAUUUUUAAAUAAUUAAAAUUGAGUUUUUUUAAAUAUGCUAAUAAAAACACACUUUUCCCAUUUUACUUUUUAUCAUAAAUCCUAUGAUUAUAAAACCAUCAAAAUUGUGAAAAUAUGUAGAUUAAAGUCAAGCAUGUGAACAAAGGUAAAAUGAUACUCUUCAAUGCUCAUAAAACUACCAUAAUUGUGGUUCCAAAUUUUUGUUGGAUGGAAUAUAGUAGUUAAAAAAUUUCUUACACACGAUAAAUUAUGGCUAGGUUUGAGAACAAUUCUAAAAAAUAAUUUUUAAAAUUAUUAUAUGAUAUUUUAUAAAAUAAAAAUCUAUUUAGGAGUAUGAAAUGUUCUUAAUAUAUUUUUUAUUUUUUAAAUAUAUUUUAAAAAUAAAUUUUAUCUCCAAUACUUUAUUUUUUAUAUUUGUAUAAUUCUUAUAUACAACAAUUAUCAAAAAAUAAGUAAAAACAAUCUAAAAGAUAUUUUUUUUAAAUAUCCUAUUUUAAAUUUUUUAUUUUUUGUUUUUUAUUUUUAUUUUUAUUUUUAAAUAACAUAUAACUAUUUUUAAAAAUAGUUGUCAAGUGACUAGACAACCCGUCAUUAUCCAAAUCGGAGACAAAUUGACGUGGCAUCCACACAAGAUAACUCCAUAAUUUAGAAAGAUUUCCUUUCUCAUGUGCUCUUGCUUCAUCUCGGGAAUUAUAAGAUUUGCAACUUUUAGACAGGAAUAUAAUCUUUCUUCUGGGGUCUCCAUGAAUGACUCAUGUCUCCAUAACAAAAAGGGACUUUUGAUAAAAGUAUGGUAAGUUUAAAAAAUUAUUCUUAAAUUAUGGUAGUAGGAAAAGUAAUUCUAAAUCUAAGUAGGAGAGGUAUUAGAAAUCGUCUUUUCAAAAGACGAUUUCUAUCAAAACAAGUAAAAAAAAAAAAUUAAUCCCUCAAAAAUUGUCUUUUGAAAAGAUGAGAUGAUUUUCCCUUAAUAAAUAAAUAAAUAAUCCAAAAAAUAAAAUAAAAUUUCCUAAAUGGAAAUCGUCUCUUUCAAGACACGAUUUCCCUUAAAAAAAAUCCAAAAAAAAAAAAUACAUCCAAAUUUAAUAUCUUUAAUUAUCUCUAUUUUAUAAAACAAAUAAUACAAUUUAAUAUAUAAAUAUUUUAUAAAUCCAUUUUAAAAUUAAAAAAUUAAUUAUAUUUAUACAAUUAUUAUAAAUAUAUAUUAAAAAAUUAAUUAAUUUGAUUUACUAAAUUUAAUAUAAUAUAAAUAAUAUUUAUCUAUUGUUUUUUUUUCUUUCACUUUGCAAUUAAAAAAAAAACUGUUAUCAAUUUAUAUGAAAAAAUGAGUUUAAAAAAUUAAAUUUAUUAUGAAUUUAUUAAAUAAUUAUUUACACAAUAAAUCAUUUUGUUUUGUUUUUAUUUUUAAAUUAAUUAUAUUAUAUAAUUUUAAGAUUAAAAAUAUUAAUCUUUUAAGUUAAAAUUUCAUGUGUUUUCAUAACUCUUAUAACCUAUUAUACUUCAUCACACCAAUUUGAAGAAGACCGUUUGCUACCCUCAUACCAAUUUGAAGAAGACCGUUUACUAUCCUCUCACCAAUUUGAAGAAGAACACUUCAUCACACUAAUUUGAAGAAGACCGUUUGCUACCCUCUCAUAACUAGCCCAUUGGUAUAGAAGACCGUUUUUUUUUUUUAAACUUUUUUGGCAAAUUGUCUCUUUAAGAGAUGAUUUCCACUUAAAUAAUUUUUUUUGAAAUCAUCUUUUCAAAAGACGAUUUUUGAGGGAUUAAUUUUUUUUUUUUUUACUUGUUUUGAUGGAAAUUGUCUUUUGAAAAGACGAUUUCCAAUUCCUGCAAAAUCCGCUCUCCUACCUGACAAAAACUACUAUAUAUUUGGAAUUAUUUUUCCUAUUACGAUAAUUUAAGAAUAAUUUUUUUAAUUUACUGUACUCUUGUCAAAAGUCCUAACAAAAAGGGCAAAAAACUUUUAGAAAGAUUCCAUUUAUAGAUGUUACCAAAAAUUACUUUGCUACCAUAAUUUUAGACAUGAAUAUAAUCUUCUUCUGGGAAUAUACCUGAGCUUGAGUUUCUCAUCCAUCCAGUGGUCAUUUGCUUGGUCUGCCCUUUCCUAUAUUUUUGCAUAACACCAUGAAUAAUUUUGAAUACUACGCUUAAGGAAAUUUGAUUUGUGGAAAGAAAAAAUAAUUGCCAGAAAACUGUUUCGUAUUGCGGCUUGGGAGACAACUCCAUGUAAGUCGAUAUAACGAACAAAGUAUGUGAAGGGUUUAUAUAUAUAUAUAUAUAUAUAUACAUACAUACAUACAUAUAUAUAUAUAUCCAAAAUACCAUGCCUCGAUGCUAGAUUACAUUUAACAUUUGACAACACUAGAGAUUAUGAUGACAAACUGUUGUGGAAGGUGAUAUAUCAUACAUGUUAUACAAACAUUAUUAAUCCUUUUCACAUGGUACAUACAUAUAUAUAGAACCAUCUCCUGGCCAUUUACAUUGGCACAGGAUCUAUGAGCAUCCCUGCAACCAGAUCUUUCAUCAAUGGUCCAACCAGCGUGUACUCAUCUUCGUCCUUGUACAAGACGUCCAUCAUCCGGCUAAAAUUCAGAACACGGGUGAGGAGUGGAACUGGCACUGCUGUAGGUUGCAGGAACUCCUCAUUAUUAUCCUUCCAUGCACUCUCUACUUGCUUCUUGAACUCAUCAUAAGCUUCUUCCUUUGAAACCCCAUAUUGCUUCAUGUAGCAUUCUACGGCUGAGGCAACAUGCCCUCUUUUUUGCUCAAACUGCACAAGAAAGAAAAUCAAAAGAAUUUCAGUAUACACAAAACAGUAGCAGCAUCCAUUAUGCAAUAUGGAUAUGUACCUCAUGGGAAACUAUGUCAUCCAUAAGCCUGCAAAUGACGUUUGAAGCUCUAAUCAUCUUAGGGUCACUGAAAACCCAAUCGAAGGCCUCCUUGGUUACUAUAUCUCCCAUACCGACGAAAGAUGUGGUUGUAAGCAUAGAGCAGGCAGAGCUUACCAGCGCGUUGCUCAUGUACUCAUCCAUUCUUGGUAUAUAUUCUUGCUUCAACCAUUUGGCUUCAAGAAGGUAGGCUUGGACUUGCCUUUUUAACUGAGUUACAUAAUCAUGCAGAAUAUAUAUUAAUUUUGACCAUACCAAACACAACUCAUGGAACAUUGAAGGAUCAAGAAGAAGAGAUAAUAUUGGUGCCAAACCGCUGCUUGUGCGUAGUGAACACGGUACAGUUUUCCUUGCUUCGUCAUCUCUUCCUCCAUUUCUUCAUAGACAUCUAAGAGAGCCUGAUAACACACCUUCAUAUAAUCUGGCAGUUGAUCUAUGCUGCUGGCAUCCCAUCUGAAAGUGAAGCAACAGAUCAUAUCCUUGGAACCUUUUGAAAUUACACCAGAAAUUUAGAAAUUAAGUUAACAAUGUUGAUGUGCAUGCAUCAAGUAAUUACCUCUCAAUUGCUUCUGUAAAGAGUUUGAGUUCUUCAAAUGUCCCAUACGCAUCAUAUAUAUCAUCUACAAUGGAUAGCACCCCGAAUACUUUCAUUAAGAUCCUUCUAGCAAGGUAAUAUUGGGGUUCAAAGUACACUCCCAAGAUCCAAAAGUAGCCUUCCACUAUCCUGUCCCUCGCAAAAGGUAGCUUUGUCGCAAAGUCUAAACCUUUCCACCACCUAAAAGAUAGAUACAUCAACAAGUGAUGACCAGACUGUAGAAAAAUAUUGUUAAAUGGCUAGCUUUCUUCAAACAAUUGGUUAAACAACUUACUUAGUGAUCUCACUUAGCUCUUUCCUGUGGAGUGACUGCAACAUGUUGUAAUCCAACUUUGCAAGCUUGAGUAAAGAUUCAUUAUGUGAAUCGUCUUCUUGGUAGAUGGUAAUGUAAUGCCUUGCCUCCACCCUUGGUAAGCCCUUGCGAAUCGGGCGCUUUAGAGCACGAAUCACUUGUUUUGUGAGAGGAUUAUCUGAAUCAAUUGCCAUGGACUGAAGGUGAGCAGUGGUGAAACCCAGGGCUUCAUCUAGUAUGUCUUCUCCAUGCACCAUUAAAUGUGCAGCUUCAUAUAAAGCUAGCAUGCCUGGUAAGUCACCCACCAAUGAUUCCUUGAAGUUGCCUCCCUCAUCCAUGAACUUCUUAAAU